ACAUGUUUGAGAUCAAACCCCUGAUUUUAAAACAACCUUUUUCCCCUGAGUAAAGUAAAAGAAUUGCUGUGUGUAGUCUUUGCCCAUCCCAUGUGAUGGGCUUUUUUUUGC
rfam:Erwinia sp. EM595 isolate E_g_EM595 genome assembly, chromosome: 1